CGGCGCCGCCCCCAGCCAAGAUCCCAGCGCCGCGGGGAAAGCGGCCAGGCCGGGUGCGCCAGGCCCCCGACGGCUCCGACCCGGCUCGGCGGCCGCCUCGGCUCGGCCCGGCCCGUGCGCCCCGGUCCCGGUUCACCGGGGCCCCGCGGCGCCGCCCCCCGCUCCGCAGUGGCCCGAGCCCCGCCCCGCCGCCCUCUCCCCCCUCCGCCCGGCCCUCCCUCAAGCGCCAGGGCGGCCGGCCCUCAGGGGAUGGGCGAAGGGGAGGGGUCCCCGCCCCCGGCCCGCCUGGAGGCGGGGACGGCGCGCUCGCCUGCUCUGCGGGUCCCCGAGGCCCAGGCGCCGCCGGGCAUGGGGCGCACGGAGCUGGGGGCCCCGCGGGAAGCGGCCCGGCACACGGUCAGCUCCCAAGCUAUUGGAGACCCCCUCAAGCAAAGCCCUGCCCCCAAUCCAGGAACUCUUUUAUAAAGAAUUUCCCAGUAUAAUCUCCUGAGACUCAGUUAAUCAGGAUCUUUCCCCUCACCCCCAUUUUAGGACAAUACAUGUGAAGAUGGAGGCAGAGGUUGGAGUGAUGUGUCUACAAGCCAAGGAGUGCUAAGGAGUGCCAGCAGCCACCAGGAGCUAGGAGAGGGGCCUGGAACGGACUCUCCCUCAGAGCCUCCAGAAGAAACCAACCCUGCCGACACCUUGACUUUGGACUUCUGGCUUCCAGAACUCAUGGUGUGCCAAGCAGUGCCACGUCUGCACCCAGGAUUCAAACCGGUGAAUCCUGGGCUGUGGAAGCAGAACGUGCGAACUUAACCGCUACGCCACCAGGCCAGCCCCUGAGCCUUAGUCCUCGCACUGCUGUCUGGGUGUGGAAUGUCUGGUGAAGCUGCACAGGACGAUCAGCAACUUUGAUUUGAGAAGACAGAACUCCUCCUGUUCCUAUGGGACCACUACGAGAACCUGGUCUUGCUGUUCCAGGUGGCAUUCCAGUUGCCACUCGAAUAUUUCCUGAUGGGGGUCGUACUCCAGAAGGAGGCCUUCCUGUCAACCCAAUUCCACCUCGUGACACAGGGCGAGCUGCUGAAGGUUUGUGAUUACUGGCCAUUGUUUACUUUACCCACUCUUCUUCGGCCGGCGGUGUAGGUUGCAGGAGGGAAGCGAGCCAAAGCUUGGUGUCGGGCCUCGGCAGUCGGGACGCACACGGUCUGCCCGAAUGUUGUCUUUUUAAAAAACAAUAAUAUGGUGUCCUUGUUUCAG
rnacentral:lncRNA from 1 species